rnacentral:rRNA from 1 species
AACGAACGCUGGCGGCAUGCCUAACACAUGCAAGUCGAACGAGAUCUUCGGGUCUAGUGGCGCACGGGUGCGUAACGCGUGGGAAUCUGCCGUUUGGUUCGGAAUAACAGUUGGAAACGACUGCUGAUACCGGAUGAUGACGAAAGUCCAAAGAUUUAUCGCCAGAGGAUGAGCCCGCGUAGGAUUAGCUAGUUGGUGUGGUAAAGGCGCACCAAGGCGACGAUCCUUAGCUGGUCUGAGAGGAUGAUCAGCCACACUGGGACUGAGACACGGCCCAGACUCCUACGGGAGGCAGCAGUGGGGAAUAUUGGACAAUGGGCGAAAGCCUGAUCCAGCAAUGCCGCGUGAGUGAUGAAGGCCUUAGGGUUGUAAAGCUCUUUUACCCGGGAUGAUAAUGACAGUACCGGGAGAAUAAGCUCCGGCUAACUCCGUGCCAGCAGCCGCGGUAA